AUCCAUUAAACCUGUAUCUCUCAAACUCAAAGUGAGAAUGUUGUUGGGGAUCAUAUCAAAAGCCUUACAGAAGUCUAGGUAUAUGACAGAGGUAUGUGCUCUUCCUCUCUUCACUGGUGCAGUACUACCAUCACAGAAGUCCGCUAGAUGAGUCAGGCACAAUUUGCCCUUGGUGAAUCCAUUUUGGCUGUCUCUAAUCACCUCCCUGUCUUCCCUAUGUUUUGACAGAUCUUCUAGGAGGAUCUGUUUGUUACAUGAUCUUACUGGGCAUGGAGGCAGACUGCAUCUUUUUAUAGAAACCUACAUAAAAAAAAAGCAUUUGGAUUCUUGCACUGUUGAUUUGUGUUGUGGAAAAAUGAAGAUCUAAAGUGAAGGAUGUUUCUAAUAUAUACUUGGUGCUUUCUAAUUUGGGGAUAUGCUUUCUAAUUUGGGGAUAGUGUUGCAUGAAUGUUGUUGAUGAAUGUGUGUGAAGUAUGCUUACUAAGUACAUGUAUACAGCUGUAGAGUUACAAAAUGGGACCUGAAAAUCACAGUACACUUAAAUGAAUGUACGUCAUAAAGCAAAACCUUUGUGUGCUUUGCUGUCUGAACUAUUGUACUGAUCUGACCUGGAGUCCACCCCGCCCCAUGUCCGCUCUCCUAAGCCUCUGCGCAGUGGCUGCUGUCAGAAGAACUGGCAGAAAUGGUAAUUGGCAAAAAUGUUGUCUGUGCCAAGGUGAACAGAACAGCCUUUUUAGGGCUAGAAAGGCCCUACAAGGUCUCACCGGAAAGUGUUUUUGCCUUAAUAAGGCUGUAUGAAGUAUUUUCCAACAGCUUCAUUGUGCACUUGCGUGAGAAACACUUGGAUGUCCCAGGUAACAGGUGUGAAGCAAUGGAUAUCUUCUGGAACUUUCUCCUGCAGGAGAAAUAGCAAAUUUUCCCUUGCUAGUUAUCCUUUAGGUCUUUUUUUUUUUUUUUUUUUUUUUUUUUUUGUAAAUAGAUGGUUAUCAUAGCCUUUCUUUCUCAUGCUCUGCCCUUUAUGUUACCUCUCACUGGAUGGAAGCCAUUCUGUACUGGUGAGCGUCCUGCUGUCGUCUUUAUCCUUUUGCCUUCUGAGGCUGACCGAAGAAGCCUUCCAUAUGCUCUAUUGCUGUGAAGGAGGACAAAAUUCUGGGUUUUCCUUGUUUCCAUGGUCCUAAAAUCGUAUUUGCCUUUUUGGUUGAUACCGAAUAUUAAGCUGAUGCUCACAAAGUUUCAUCUGCCAUGUUUUUCGCACAAUCCUAAUGGUAGUGGUGAAUAAGCUGUGCACAUAAGGGUUUCCCCACUUUGUGUAUUAUUUAGCAUUCAUUAAUGUUGAGUUUAAUCUGCUUGUUUACCUAGCCGCUUAGGCCUGAGGGCCUCCUGCAGCUCUUCAGUCGCUUCUAGACUUGAAUGUUCCUGAGUAGCUUCAUAGGUAACACAAACAUUUUGCUUGCUUUUCCAGAUCUUAGAGCAACUUAAGUUGUAGUAAGAUGCAGCAAAUCUUUCUUCAGUUAAAAUUUGUUGUUCCUGCCACUUUCUUUUCCCUUAGUCAUUUGUUAAACCAUGAUUAGCUAGUCAAGCACUGAAAACUUGACACGUUGGAACAUUCUGUUGAGCAGAUAACUCAUGUUCUUGUCUGUGUGAGCCCAGCAGUCAAAUAGGCCAGGAUUCUGUCGUCGGUAUCUGUGACUUCUCUCAUUGUAUAAGGACCAUUCAUCUACCAAACCUACUAUCGGCUUAAAGCUAUACAUUAUAAGGUUGAACUUUCUCAUUUGUUUUUCCCAGACCAAUCUCCUUCCACAUGCAAGUGUAUCAUUUUUGAUUUCUCUGUUUCAGAAACUGGUCUAAAUUAGAGGUUUUAUAUUGUGAUUAGCACUCCACAAUUCCACAUUUGGAUUAUUUAUAAGCAGGUGGAUCAGUAUCACCAGGCUUUGGCCUUUUGUUGCUUUAUGGAAAUAGUCAUAAACUGAAUAAUUUAUCUUAGAUAUGAAGCCAGUAUCUCAGACUCAUUUAUUAAAAAAAAAAAAAAAA
rnacentral:lncRNA from 1 species